UGAGACCUACGGGAGGCAGCAGUGGGGAAUAUUGCGCAAUGGGCGAAAGCCUGACGCAGCGACGCCGCGUGAGGGAUGAAGGUCUUCGGAUAGUAAACCUCUGUCAGCAGGGAAGAACGGUCACUGUGCUAAUCAGCAGUGAAUUGACGGAACCUGCAAAGGAAGCACCGGCUAAAUCCGUGCCAGCAGCCGCGGUAAUAAGGAGGGUGCGAGCGCUAAUAGGAAUUACUGGGCGUAAAGCGCUAGUAGGAGGUAUGUCAAGUCAAGGGUGAAAUCC
rnacentral:rRNA from 1 species